ensembl:lncRNA
GUGAGUAUUAAAGCUGAAAAUCCUUUUUAUGUUUUUAUGAUUCACAAAAGAUGCAGUGGCCAUGUUUUUCCCUAUUUUCGCUCACUUUAGGGUUUGUUCACAGUAGGGGUGGAGCCAACUCGAAUACGGUAUUCGGAAAGACACAAAUAACGUGUUUUUCACGAAUACUUUAAAAAAUAUUUGUAUACGGGAACAAGAAAAACUUUAUAUCAAAAAGCUUCCUUAUGAGACCGCACUGCAUGCCCGGAUGAGUGAGUGACGUGUAAAAGGUGACUGACACCGGCUGCUCCACACAGCAACAGAGAAGCCUCGGCUAAGCCUUGAAAGACUGAACUGCAUCACUAUUUUUGAUCAAUAGAUUUUUUUUUAACCUUAACUGGGUUCCGGAGGCAGUUUAUAACUUUCACGAAGAUCGGGAGAUUGAUCAAUUACGCUGCACUAUUGACGCCUGCAGUCGGGUGCUCUCAUGUUCGCUCUGUUUACGUAGCUCUGUUAGCUGACAUGGCUGGUAAGGACAUGAGGAGGAAACAGGAGGAGCUGUGUGAGGCUACUAAAGGCAGUGGAACCCUCACCAGCUGGAUUACAAACAGCACAGAUGGACAGCAAGUGGAGAGUGAUAGAUGAGAUGAGGAGAUGAAGGAGGAAGACGACAAGGCCACCUCACAACAGUGAUGUAAUGUGUAGAGUGUGAUGUCCGACCAGUCUGCCGUUUGCUGUAAAGAAGGGAGUUCCAAAGCUCCUCAUAGAUGCUGUGAGGAGCAAACAACCGACGUGGUUAAAGGCUGGUCGCGGAGUCCCGAUUAUUAUUUAUCUGUUUACUUGUUGUUGUUUUUUUAUUAUAGAUAUUUUUUUAUUGUUUAUAUGUUAUAAGUGUAAUCCAAAAUGUCAUGCCAUAAACUAUCUCUAGCCGUUUUAUUGCUG